rnacentral:lncRNA from 1 species
UGCUUUGUCCGCCUCCCCCCCCCCCAUCGAUUUUUUCCUCAACCCUCUUUUUCCACUCUCCUUUUGCGUCGAUGGCCUUUUCGGGGCCGUCCCUUUUGCGCGCUCUCUUUUUUUCGCAUUUUUUGUGUGUUUAAAGCGGAAAAGGCGACGCCGCGGACGGGAUCUUUUGUUUUUCCUGUGCUGCGGCGGACCGGCGCGCGGCGUGUUGGCCCGACCGACAAGGUGCGACAGAGCAAAAAAAAGAUAUCGAGAAAAAGAAGAACGGGCAAAUAACUCUCUCUCUCUCUCUCUCUUGCCGCUUUUUUUACGCACUGAAAGACUGGCCGACUAAAAAAGAGGCAUUGAAAAAAAGGGCCGAUGGCGAUGGUGCUCGACGAGAGCAGAGGAGAAGAGGCGCCGACAGGUAAACAGAGGAUGAAAAAAAAAAGGCGGCGGUUCUGCGCCGCGAAUCGCAAGAGCCCGCGCCAACGACAGCGGCGCGCGCGGGCACGAGCGCGACAAAGGGAGGCACGGCGUCCUAGACGGUGCAACGACGCUCGGUUCACCUAGGUGCGCGUGCCCGUGAUAAAGUUGGCGACGGUGGCGGUCUCGUUGGCGGCGGGCGGCUUGAACCGAAGCCAGCAGCCGUUCCUGUUCCACAGCGGGUUGGGCGGCACGGCGCCGGCGUCGUAGACGUACUGGACGCAUCGGGCGUCGGCGCGACAGCGCGCCUCGCAGACGUCGACACUGGCCGCCGUGCCGGAAAAGGUGCCCACCGUCGGGUCGGCAAAGGUUUGCGAGAGGCCCAGGUCGGCGAGCACGGUGCCCACCGUAUUGGUGUUGGCGGCGCGCGUAAAGGUCGCCGAUGACGGCGGCGUCACAGGAUAAAACGGUCCGCCGUUGGGCGGCGGCGGCGGCGGAGACGGUGUGACGGGCGCCACGGGAUAAAACGGGCCGCUGCCAGAGGCGGGCGUCACGGGCAAGAGGGCACCGGCGGCCCGCUUCUUGCUGCGCUCGUGAACGAUCCACGCGACCACGGCAGCCAGGACGGCGGCCAGCGCGACGCCGCUGACCGCCCACCAUACCCAUUCAUAAUCGCGCGGCGGCGCGGGUGUGGCAGGCGGCGGG